GGUUGGGAUUAUUCCUUCGAGCAUUUGGUCUUCGCACAAUUACUUGUUAUGGCAGCAAAAGUUUUAGGUCCUCAGGAGAUUGUUUCCUUUGCUCUCAAUUAUCUAAAGGAAUGAGAUAGAAUUAAACAGGUCAGUGAUCCAUUCUCUAUAGCUUUAUCUAAAUUGAGCUCUCCUAUAAAAUGGUCUAAACCGAUCGAGGGAAGGUUCAAAUGCUAUGUGGAUGUGGCUCUCUUUUUGACACAAUUUAAAGCAAGUUUC
rnacentral:misc_RNA from 1 species